GAUGAACGCUGGCGGCGUGCCUAAUACAUGCAAGUCGAGCGAAGCGGGGGCGGGUGAGUAACACGUGGAGAAACGCCCAUAUAAAGGGGAUAACUUAGGGGAACAGGAGGUUAACCGGAUAAUUAUAGAUGGCUCCGUGCUGCAUUAGCUAGGUGGUAAGGUAACGGCUUACCAAGGCAACGAUGCAUAGCCGACCUAAGAGGAUGAUCGGCCACACUGGAACGGAGACACGGUCCAGACUCCUACGGGAGGCAGCAGUAGGGAAUCUUCCGCAAUGGGCGAAAGCCUGACGGAGCAACGCCGCGUGUGUGAUGAAGGUCUUCGGAUCGUAAAACUCUGUUAUUAGGGAAGCGGUACCUAAUCAGAAAGCCACGGCUAACUACGUGCCAGCAGCCGCGGUAAUAC
rnacentral:rRNA from 1 species